CUAAUUAUCACUACACGACAUUACAUAUCCAAACUAAACAAAACCUAAUAUCUAAUUCCACACUCACCACCAACACCGACACCACAUCGCGACACCCUGUCCGCCGCCUACUACCACCUCCACCAACGGAGCGACAAACUCCGACCUCACACAGCUGCACGUCGAUGCCUUCUCCCAGAUCCCCCACUUCGUUUGCCAAAUCUCCUAAUUUUUUUGUUACAUUCGACUUUGAUCAGUCGAACAUCUCGACACCAACAAAGAACCAAAAUUGGACCAUCAACACUGAAAUCGGCAACCCCACGGAGCUUCACACACUCACCUUCACCAAGAUCGACCAAAUCGACUGGUAAGACCGAAAUCGAGCAGUCGGAAACCUAGAAUACAAAGAAUCAUCGCCAGAAUAUCAUCCACAGGGAGGAUCCGAAGAAAAUACGAUGGACCGCGAAUCCAGAGAGAAUCUUCAGCUCUAAUCGACGACGUUCAACACUUCAAAGGUACAUAUGAGUUAGAACACAACUUUGGUUACUGUCAUAUCUACCCGCUGACAACAAACUUAGAAGAAAUAUUUGAUCCAUUCCAGCCCAAGAUUAUGCAUAUAUCAUCAAUUUCAUUCAUUCGACGCUCGUCCUCUCUAAUUGCACCCAGAGCCCCCGAUUUCCCACUCAAAAAAUUCCUCUUUUUCAGCAAAUAUUCAUCCAUUCCAGCCCAAGAUUUCCUGACCCAUUUGCAGAAACAUCAAUCCCAUGUCGAGAAAAAUCUAAACGCGGUGAAAUCCAAUCUGGAUUCUCAAUGCAUAGCGCAAGUGUUGGAACAGUGUGCUAUUGAAAAGCCUAAAUUGGGCGUCAGAUUCUUCGUUUGGGCUGCUUUUCACCCCACACACAGACACACUUCGUACAUGUAUAGCAAAGCUUGUAAGCUACUGAAUCUUGAGAAAAACCCUCGAAUCAUUGCUGAUGUUGUGGAUGAGUAUAGGGCUGAGGGUUUUGCAGUCAGUGUUAGGAUGUUUAAGGUGCUCUUGAAUUUGUGUAAAGAGGCUCGGUGUGCGGAGAUGGGAUUGUGGGUUUUGGGGAAAAUGAAGGAGCUUGGUUGUAUGCCUGAUACGGUGUCGUAUAAUGUUGUAAUUAGGCUUCUUGUUGCUGAAGGUCGAUUAGAUGAGUCGAUGAGAUUGUUGAAAGAAAUGCCUUUAUGUGAUCUGACUCCCGAUAUGGUUACCUAUGGCUCUGUGAUUAAGGGUCUUUGUGAUGCUGGAGAUUUGGAGGGUGCUCUUGGAUUGGUUAAGGUUAUGAAGGGGCAUGGAUGUGUGCCGAAUUCUGUGAUCUAUUCGACCAUACUCGAUGGAAUUUGUAUGCACGGGAGUUUGAAGCUGGCCUUGGAGUUCUUAGAUGGAAUGGAGAAAGUGGAAGAGAAGGAGAAGGACGAGGGUAGGCCGAAUGUGGUUACUUAUACUACCAUGAUAAAGGGCUUUGUCGAAAAAGGAAUGGCUAGUGAGGCGCGGAGCAUCUUGGAUCGGAUGUAUGAUUCAGAUCUGAAACCGAAUAGGGUGACAUUUGUUACUCUGAUUGAUGGACUUAUCAAAGAAGGGAAAGUAGAGGAGGCUCGUAAGGUAGUUGAUACGUUUGGAGGAGACGGAGUUCGGGCGGACGAGCUUUAUAACGUGCUUGUGUUGUCUCUGUUCCGAGCAGGGAGGCAUAAGGAGUCGGAGGAGAUGUUUAGGAUGAUGUUGGUUCGAGGGCUGAAGCCUAGUGGUUUGACAGCAAGUAGCAUCAUAAGAGGAAUUGUUUUGGAAGGGAGGGUGCUUGAUGGAUACUUCUUGUUUCAAGAAAUCGAAAAGCUGGGAUCUUUGCUGUCGAUCGAUCCUGAUGUUUACUCGAGCCUUCUGGCUUGCCUUUGUCAAGAGAAUCAUCUUGCAGAAGCUGGGAGCCUGGUUAAUAUCAUGGUGGAGAGAAGGGUUCAUUUAGAACCUUCUCAGUUUGAACAUUUAGCUAACUUUAGGAGUUUCUUGAAUUAGUUUGUAGUAUUGAGGUGAGUUUUGUGUGAUCAAUUGCUGUUGAAUCUUGUUUGGAAGCAACUGACUGAUUAGUGGUUAAUAAUAGCAGCACGAAAUUCGGUAGUCAGUCUGAGAGUAAGAAAUUUCAUACUGUUCCAAACAAGGAAGCAGGGAAAAAAUUGGCUGAAAGCAUAGUCAAAGAGCGGCUCGCAGCGUGUGUUAACCGAAUACCAGGUCAGAUUUCUGCAAUUUAGGAAAUAUGUAAUACGGGGACACAGAAAGUGCACUCUCACUGUAUUGAAGAAUAGGUAGUCUCUCAAGGAUUCUAAUCUUGAGUUUAGAUCUUAGCUUGCAGUAGAUCAUUAGUAGCUAAGCUGUUAUUAGCAUUUGAUAUUAUAACUCUCAACUCCUACUUGUUGAUUUGAUAAACUAUGACAGUUUUUUACAUGUUAAACUAGUCUUGGAAUUGUUGCA